CAUCGCCUGUGUCUGCUGCUUUAUCAUCCGCGUCAACUCUGUGUUUUAACAUGUUUGUUUCACCAAUACCUUGGUAUGCCAUAUUUACACGUUCAGAUGUAGAUUUCCAUAAAUCAACAUAACAAUGAUAAAUAUCACUAUCAUCAAUUGACAUAAUUUCAUUUCCACUUAUACGAAUUGUUUUUUUUUAACUAUUGCUCUUCCUAUGUUUUGAUAUAUAGUUGCAUUGUCGUCUGUAGAUGUGAGUUCUAUUUCGAAUGCCAAUCUGGUUGUUCCAGGAACAAUGACAUCAUUAUUGCUUAGAUUGGGGAAUCUCACUAAUAGCUGUUGAUUUUGAUCAAUAGUUGAAGGAUUAUUUGUUAUUACUACACUUUGACGAAUACCUUUCACACCACGGGGUUCUCUUAUUUUUCUGUAAGGAUUUAAUUUGUUUCCGUAUGCCGACAUUUUUAAGGAUUAAAUUUGUUAUAAAAAUAAUUCAACUACCGCUGAUACUAGAGUAUUGAUACAUGCAGAAUUAUCAC
rnacentral:lncRNA from 1 species